rnacentral:lncRNA from 1 species
GGAUGAGAGAGGGGUCUAUAGUGUUGGUGGUGGGUCAGGUUGAGACAGGGGUCUAUAGUGUUGGUGGUGGGUCAGGUUGAGACAGGGGUCUAUAGUGUUGCUGGUGGGUCAGGUUGAGACAGGGGUCUAUAGUGUUGGUGGUGGGUCAGGUUGAGACAGGGGUCUAUAGUGUGGUUGUGGGUCAGACAGGGGUCUAUAGUGUGGUGGUGGGUCAGGUUGAGACAGGGGUCUAUAGUGUUGGUGGUGGGUCAGGUUGAGACAGGGGUCUAUAGUGUGGUGGUGGGUCAGGUUGAGACAGGGGUCAAUAGAGUGGUGGUGGGUCAGGUUGAGACAGGGGUCUAUAGUGUGGUGGUGGGUCAGGUUGAGACAGGGGUUUAUAGUGUUGGUAGAGGGUCAGGUUGAGACAGGGGUCUAUAGUGUGGUGGUGGGUCAGGUUGAGACAGGGGUCUAUAGUGUUGGUGGUGGGUCAGGUUGAGACAGGGGUCUAUAGUGUUGGUGGUGGGUCAGGUUGAGACAGGGGUCUAUAGUGUUGGUGGUGGGUCAGGUUGAGACAGGGGUCUAUAGUGUUGGUGGUGGGUCAGAUUGAGACAGGGGUCUAUAGUGUUGGUGGUGGGUCAGGUUGAGACAGGGGUCUAUAGUGUGGUGGUGGGUCAGGUUGAGACAGGGGUCUAUAGUGUUGGUGGUGGGUCAGGUUGAGACAGGGGUCUAUAGUGUUGGUGGUGGGUCAGAUUGAGACAGGGGUCUAUAGUGUUGGUGGUGGGUCAGGUUGAGACAGGGGUCUAUAGUGUGGUGGUGGGUCAGGUUGAGAAAGGGGUCUAUAGUGUUGGUGGUGGGUCAGGUUGAGACAGGGGUCUAUAGUGUGGUGGUGGGUCAAACAGGGGUCUAUAGUGUGGUGGUGGGUCAGGUUGAGACAGGGGUCUAUAGUGUGGUGGUGGGUCAGGUUGAGACAGGGGUCUAUAGUGUGGUGGUGGGUCAGGUUAAGACAGGGGUCUAUAGUGUGGUGGUGGGUCAGGUUGAGACAGGGGUAUAUAGUGUUGGUGGUGGGUCAGGUUGAGACAGGGGUCUAUAUUGUGGUGGUGGGUCAGACAGGGGUCUAUAGUGUUGGUGGUGGGUCAGGUUGAGACAGGGGUCUAUAGUGUUGCUGGUGGGUCAGGUUCAGACAGGGGUCUAUAGUGUGGUGGUGGGUCAGGUUGAGACAGGGGUCUAUAGUGUUGGUGGUGGGUAAGGUUGAGACAGGGGUCUAUAGUGUUGGUGGUGGGUCAGGUUGAGACAGGGGUCUAUAGAGUUGGUGGAGGGUCAGGUUGAGACAGGGGUCUAUAGUGUGGUGGUGGGUCAGGUUGAGACAGGGGUCUAUAGUGUUGGUGGUGGGUCAGGUUAAGACAGGGGUCUAUAGUGUGGUGGUGGGUCAGGUUGAUACAGGGCUCUAUAGUGUUGGUGGUGGGUCAGGUUGAGACAGGGGUCUAUAGUGUUGGUGGUGGGUCCGGUUGAGACAGGGGUAUAUAGUGUUG